CCUACGGGAGGCAGCAGUGGGGAAUAUUGGACAAUGGGGGGAACCCUGAUCCAGCGACGCCGCGUGAGUGAAGAAGUACUUCGGUAUGUAAAGCUCUAUCAGCAGGGAAGAAAGAAAUGACGGUACCUGACUAAGAAGCCCCGGCUAACUACGUGCCAGCAGCCGCGGUAAUACGUAGGGGGCAAGCGUUAUCCGGAUUUACAGGGUGUACAGGGAGCGUAGACGGCGAUGCAAGUCUGAAGUGAAAGGCGGGGGCCCAACCCCCGGACUGCUUUGGACACUGGAUGGCUGGAGUGCAGGGGAGGUAAGUGGAAUUCCGGGUGUAGCGGUGAAAUGCGUAGAUAUUAGGAGGAACACCAGUGGCGAAGGCGGCUUACUGGACUGUAACUGACGUUGAGGCUCGAAAGCGUGGGGAUCAAACAGGAUUAGAUACCCCGGUAGUC
rnacentral:rRNA from 1 species